CCUACGGGAGGCAGCAGUGGGGAAUAUUGGGCAAUGGGCGCAAGCCUGACCCAGCAACGCAGCGUGCAGGAAGAAGGCUUUCGGGUUGUAAACUUCUUUUGUCAGGGAAGAGUAGAAGACGAUACCUGACGAAUAAGCCACGGCUAACUACUUGCCAGCAGCCGCGGUAAUACGUAGGUGGCAAGUGUUGUCCGGAUUUACUGGGUGUAAAGGGCGUGUAGCCGGGUUGACAAGUCAGAUGUGAAAUCCUGCGGCUUAACCGCAGAACUGCAUUUGAAACUGUUGAUCUUGAGUACUGGAGAGGCAGACGGAAUUCCUAGUGUAGCGGUGAAAUGCGUAGAUAUUAGGAGGAACACCAGUGGCGAAGGCGGUCUGCUGGACAGCAACUGACGGUGAGGCGCGAAAGCGUGGGGAGCAAACAGGAUUAGAUACCCUUGUAGUC
rnacentral:rRNA from 1 species